rnacentral:rRNA from 1 species
CCUACGGGUGGCAGCAGUGAGGAAUAUUGGUCAAUGGACGAGAGUCUGAACCAGCCAAGUAGCGUGAAGGAUGACUGUCCUAUGGGUUGUAAACUUCUUUUAUAUGGGAAUACAAUGUUCAACGUGGGGGAUUUUGUCUGUACCAUAGGAAUAAGGAUCGGCUAACUCCGUGCCAGCAGCCGCGGUAAUACGGAGGUUCCGAGCGUUAUCCGGAUUUAGUGGGUUUAAAGGGAGCGUAGGUGGCUUGUUAAGUCAGUUGUGAAAGUUUGCGGCUCAACCGUAAAAUUGCAGUUGAAACUGGCAGUCGUUAGUACAGUAGAGGUGGGCGGAAUGCGUGGUGUAGCGGUGAAAUGCUUAGAUAUCACGAAGAACUCCGAUUGCGAAGGCAGCUCACUGGACUGCAACUGACACUGAGGCUCGAAAGUGUGGGUAUCAAACAGGAUUAGAUACCCGAGUAGUC